rnacentral:rRNA from 1 species
CUACGCUAAUACCGCAUACGAUCUACGGAUGAAAGCGGGGGAGUCGCAAGACCUCGCGCGAUUGGAGCGGCCGAUAUCAGAUUAGGUAGUUGGUGAGGUAAAGGCUCACCAAGCCGACGAUCUGUAGCUGGUCUGAGAGGACGACCAGCCACACUGGGACGUGAGACACGGCCCAGACUCCUACGGGAGGCAGCAGUGGGGAAUUUUGGACAAUGGGCGCAAGCCUGAUCCAGCAAUGCCGCGUGCAGGAUGAAGGCCUUCGGGUUGUAAACUGCUUUUGUACGGAACGAAACGGUGAGCUCUAAUACAGUUUGCUAAUGACGGUACCGUAAGAAUAAGCACCGGCUAACUACGUG